UAAUACGUAGGGUGCAAGCGUUAAUCGGAAUUACUGGGCGUAAAGCGUGCGCAGGCGGUUUUGUAAGACGGAUGUGAAAUCCCCGGGCUUAACCUGGGAACUGCAUUCGUGACUGCAAGGCUAGAGUAUGGCAGAGGGGGGUAGAAUUCCACGUGUAGCAGUGAAAUGCGUAGAGAUGUGGAGGAAUACCGAUGGCGAAGGCAGCCCCCUGGGCCAAUACUGACGCUCAUGCACGAAAGCGUGGGGAGCAAACAGGAUUAGAUACCCUGGUAGUCCACGCCCUAAACGAUGUCAACUAGUUGUUGGGGAUUCAUUUCCUUAGUAACGUAGCUAACGCGUGAAGUUGACCGCCUGGGGAGUACGGUCGCAAGAUUAAAACUCAAAGGAAUUGACGG
rnacentral:rRNA from 1 species